AGUGAACGCUGGCGGUAGGCCUAACACAUGCAAGUCGAACGGCAGCACAGUAAGAGCUUGCUCUUACGGGUGGCGAGUGGCGGACGGGUGAGGAAUACAUCGGAAUCUACUUUUUCGUGGGGGAUAACGUAGGGAAACUUACGCUAUACCGCAUAACACCUACCGGUGAAAGCAAGGGGUCUUCGGACCUUGCGCGAUUGAAUGAGCCGAUGUCGGAUUAGCUAGUUGGCGGGGUAAAGGCCCACCAAGGCGACGAUCCGUAGCUGGUCUGAGAGGAUGAUCAGCCACACUGGAACUGAGACACGGUCCAGACUCCUACGGGAGGCAGCAGUGGGGAAUAUUGGACAAUGGGCGCAAGCCUGAUCCAGCCAUACCGCGUGGGUGAAGAAGGCCUUCGGGUUGUAAAGCCCUUUUGUUGGGAAAGAAAAGCAGCAGGUUAAUACCCCGCUGUUCUGACGGUACCCAAAGAAUAAGCACCGGCUAACUUCGUG
rnacentral:rRNA from 1 species